GAUGCAGAUCCUGACAUCAUACAUACUAACGUUGGAAUGAUAUAGAGAUGAUUAACAUAGUCUCUGCCCAAAAUUGCGCUGGCAAACUUUGUGAAGUAUUUCAUAUAUUA
rnacentral:snRNA from 1 species